UACAGAGGUCCCGAGCGUUGUUCGGAUUCAUUGGGCGUAAAGGGUGCGUAGGCGGCGCGGUAAGUCGGGUGUGAAAUCUCGGAGCUUAACUCCGAAACUGCAUUCGAUACUGCCGUGCUUGAGGACUGGAGAGGAGACUGGAAUUUACGGUGUAGCGGUGAAAUGCGUAGAUAUCGUAAGGAAGACCAGUGGCGAAGGCGGGUCCCUGGACAGUUCCUGACGCUGAGGCACGAAGGCCAGGGGAGCAAACGGG
rnacentral:rRNA from 1 species